rnacentral:rRNA from 1 species
UACAGAGGGGGCAAGCGUUGUUCGGAAUUACUGGGCGUAAAGGGCGCGUAGGCGGCCGCCUAAGUCAGACGUGAAAUCCCUCGGCUCAACCGGGGAACUGCGUCUGAUACUGGCAGGCUUGAAUCCGGGAGAGGGAUGCGGAAUUCCAGGUGUAGCGGUGAAAUGCGUAGAUAUCUGGAGGAACACCGGUGGCGAAGGCGGCAUCCUGGACCGGCAUUGACGCUGAUGCGCGAAAGCGUGGGUAGCAAACAGG